UACAGAGGGGGCAAGCGUUAUUCGGAAUUAUUGGGCGUAAAGGGCGCGUAGGCGGCUUUGCAAGCGAAGGGUGAAAUCCCUCGGCUUAACCGAGGAACGGCCCGUCGAACUGCUUAGCUUGAGGCCGGGAGAGGCGAGUGGAAUUCCCAGUGUAGCGGUGAAAUGCGUAGAUAUUGGGAGGAACACCAGUGGCGAAGGCGGCUCGCUGGACCGGUUCUGACGCUGAGGCGCGAAAGCGUGGGUAGCAAACAGG
rnacentral:rRNA from 1 species